rnacentral:rRNA from 1 species
UACGUAGGGUGCAAGCGUUGCCCGGAUUUAUUGGGCGUAAAGGGCGCGUAGGCGGCUCGGCACGUCCGUUGUGAAAUCGCCCGGCUCAACUGGGCGGGGUCAGCGGAUACGGUCGAGCUUGAGCAAGCUAGGGGGCAACGGAAUUCCCGGUGUAGUGGUGGAAUGCGUAGAUAUCGGGAGGAACACCAGUGGCGAAGGCGGUUGCCUGGAGCUUUGCUGACGCUGAUGCGCGAAAGCGUGGGGAGCGAUCCGG